rnacentral:rRNA from 1 species
UACGUAGGGGGCAAGCGUUGUCCGGAAUUACUGGGCGUAAAGCGCACGUAGGCGGCUUUGUAAGUUAGAGGUGAAAGCCCGGGGCUCAACUCCGGAAUUGCCUUUAAGACUGCAUCGCUAGAAUUGUGGAGAGGUAAGUGGAAUUCCGAGUGUAGAGGUGAAAUUCGUAGAUAUUCGCAAGAACACCGGUGGCGAAGGCGGCCAACUGGACCAUUACUGACGCUGAGGCGCGAAAGCGUGGGGAGCAAACAGG